CCUACGGGAGGCAGCAGUGAGGAAUAUUGGUCAAUGGACGAGAGUCUGAACCAGCCACGUAGCGUGAAGGAUGACUGCCCUAUGGGUUGUAAACUUCUUUUAUAUGGGAAUAAAAUGUUCCACGUGUGGGAUUUUGUAUGUACCAUAUGAAUAAGGAUCGGCUAACUCCGUGCCAGCAGCCGCGGUAAUACGGAGGAUCCGAGCGUUAUCCGGAUUUAUUGGGUUUAAAGGGAGCGUAGGUGGAUUGUUAAGUCAGUUGUGAAAGUUUGCGGCUUAACCGUAAAAUUGCAGUUGAAACUGGCAGUCUUGAGUACAGUAGAGGUGGGCGGAAUUCGUGGUGUAGCGGUGAAAUGCUUAGAUAUCACGAAGAACUCCGAUUGCGAAGGCAGUUCACUGGACUGCAACUGACAUUGAGGCUCGAAAGUGUGGGUAUCAAACAGGAUUAGAUACCCGUGUAGUC
rnacentral:rRNA from 1 species